GUCUUAUGCUGUCAGUCUUAAGUUUGCUAAGAAAUGAAACAAUGAGUUUCAAAAAGACAAUCUCAGCUCUUUUCUGAAGAACACUUUUCUGCAGGUCCAUAAAUAAAUAAAUUCAAUUUUUGUCUAUGAAGGUUUUUCAAUGAAAUAAAUGCCAGAAUUAGACAUUUCCAAACAACUCUCUGACAAACAAUGUUAAUGAAGGUUUAAUGAUCUGUUUCCAAAAAUGCUCACACCCUAAAAUACUACCUGGUGGAGUGUAAUUCAGUCUAGAGCUAAGACUGGCUGUGCUGAGAGUCACCAUGCAGCACUGUUAAUUAACAGGUGUUUCUGAGGCCUCCCACACACAUACUGCAUCACAGUCACAGCCAAUGUCCUGAUCCAAAUCUCCUCUCUGCUCCACAGAAACAAAGAUCUGCAGCGUUACUACACAGCCCAGCAUUCCUACACCACACUGUGUUGUUCGAGUAUUCUUGGAAACUAGAAGAAACUCCAUCAGGGAUACAGGAAUAGCUUUAGCCACAUUUCCUGGAAACUGUUGACACAAAAACUAAAUUCAUACUCGUUGUUCUCGCAUUGUGGUAGCUACUCUGAUGAGAUUAUUUUCAAAGAUUAACUCAUGUAGAAGGGGAUAAAGGCAAAAUCUGAAUGUUAUAAAUAUAGCAUGCAUGCCCAUGUCGUCUGGUCCAGGUAUCCCUACAGAACAGAGGAAAAAUGAAGGAUGCCUCCAAAGCGUGCAGACAGUAAUCUCCCCUGUGGAGGUCAAAUCUAACAUGGCAGGUUAGUGUCUGUGGAGAUUGACAGCCUGGAGAAAUACUGCUGCCAGGCACCCUCAACGCACAGUGACAGUAAACACCUCCCAGGAAAAAGGCUGGUUACCAAGCCUUAUAGAGCGACUGUCAGAGGGCGCCAGGCAUCAGAGCUGCUGCCGACUCCACACUGACACACUCUGUCAACCUCUCUAUCAUAUCCGAGCCAUCUCAAUAAUGUGAACAUCAAAGUCGCCCAGGAAGUAUACCCAUCUAACCUGUACACAUCUUCAUCAGGAGUAUUUGAGGAAUGUCAUUUUCUCUGCAGUCAUUACAUGUUUGAUGAACACAAAUAAUACACCUUUUCUUCGGUCCUGAGCUUUUUUUUUUUUUUUUAACCAAAUGAGGACAACGUGACUUUCCUUUUACCAUGUAGUAUAGAUCUAUAUGAACUGUAUGUGGAUCACUACUCAACCUUAACAAAAGAUAAGGCUUUUUUGUAUCAUUGAUGGCUAAAAUCUAAUUGACAGAUUUAUCACUGGAGUCAAAUAUUGAAAUAAGACACAUAAAACAGAUUUAUCUUUAAAUAUGCAUCACUGACAUCUCGACUUUGAAUUCUCACAGCGAGACAUCAUGACGUUAAUUCAUAAAGUCUGCAAUUUACAUUUUUGGGGCUCUUUCCUUUAGGUUAUCGCUUAUCUCUAUAUAUUGUUAUACUGUUUGACCAUUACUAUUGUCAUAUGCGUAUUACUCACAUUGCUAGAUGUGCGUUAUGAGUCAGAUAUCAUGUGACACAUCAUACUUUUAUCAGUUCUUCAUUAACAGUUGAUGAAGUCUGUAUCUGUGUGUCAUGACUGUACGAAAUAAAUACCCU